rnacentral:misc_RNA from 1 species
CCGAGUUUACAACUCCCAAACCCCUGUGAAUAUACCAUCGUUGCUUCGGCGGAUCACCCCGGGCGCUUCGGCGCCCCGGAUCCAGGUGCCCGCCGGAGGACCCAAACUCUUGUUUUAGCAGUGGCAUCUUCUGAGUAAUUUUAUAAAUAAAUCA